rnacentral:lncRNA from 1 species
UAACAGAUGCUUAAGCUGAGCUGCUUAGAUGCCAAGAUGGAGCAACUGUAAGUUACUAGUCACCAGGAAACUUGAAACGGAAAUGAAAUUCAAAAUAUGACUGUGGCAUUUUGAGAUGGGCAGCAUUCACCUUUUCUACUCGGCAGUGAUUCGACUUUUCUCAUAUUCUGCGACUAAGCUCUGCAAUAUUUCACUUAAAAUCUCUUUGUCAGAUCCUGAAGUAGUGUUAGAGUAAAUCACAAAAUCCCAAGGGAUUAGGUGAGAAUCGGUAUCAAAGUAUCCUAAUCCCUCACAAGGAGGUGACAAAAACAUGAUUUGAAGUCUAAAGGCAUUGAGAGAUAAAAGUUGAAAGAUAAAUAUUCUUCAGUGGAUGAUUAGGAGAAGGAAGAAUUAUAGAAGAAUUAAAGAAGAAAUAUACAGUCUGCCAUAAAGAUAAGAUUAACAAUGGUAAAAGAGAAUGGAUGCUCUGCAAUAUUCACAACUUUAUGCUACUGGCACAAUAUUUUCCACAAAUGGUAACAGCUGGAGGACCUCAUCAUGUACAGAGAAUUUUCAACUUGGACUCCUCUCUCAUACCUUUUGUGACCAGGAAGGAGUCAGAGAGCCAAUAAGGUCUUGUGUCUCCUCCCAUACACCCAAGAAUGUGCAUCCAUUUGGUCCUCUCAGGAAACCAGAUGAAUUGAGGAACUGCAGAAAGACCAAAGAGAACCACCAGAUGGAGAUUCUGUUGGAAGCAUAGACAUAGAAGAAAAGGAGCCAGACGGAAAUAUGAAAGGGAAGGAGGAUUGGCACAGAUCCAUGAUAUGGAAUUGAGAUGAUGUAAGUCACUAGGGAAAUGAGGUCCCUCACUGACCAGAGAUUCGACUCAUUAAUAUUUUCAAAUACUUUCCCCUUAAGGGUGUGGGCAGGAUAGCAUAAUGCUGGAGAAUUGCUAUAUAUCUCUAAGGAAUCUGAGGCCUUAGGAGGGGUUUCAUUACUUCCUAGAAGGGCUAGAUUAUUUCCUUUUUCUGUGGGACCCUAUGUAGAGAUGUUGGGCAGUACUUUAAGUCAAAUGGAGUAUUUAGAUCCCAGGGGAAAGUGGAAGCCCACUGGAAAGAGGGAGGAAGCUAUUUUUGUUGUUUCUAUAAGUCCUUUGUAUUUUUGGUUAGGAUAAAUAUAGUUGUGACUUUUAAAGAAAAAUUGUUAGCUUGAGAUU